rnacentral:antisense_RNA from 1 species
AUCGCGAGAUCAGGAAGGUGGCCGAGUGUUUCGCCGCGGCCAUCAGGCACUUCUCCUUCCUGCCAUUGUAUGAAGAAGGAUGUGUUUGCUUCCCCUUGUGCCAUGAUUGUAAGUUUCCUGAGGCCUCCUCAGCCCUGCGGAACUGGCUAGAGCAAUGUAUCUUAGGCUCACUUAAGGAAGCUGUAGAGAUGAGCCCAAGGAGGGAAACCAGAAGAGCCCCCCAGGCUCGCCAGUUGUUUGUUGGCUCCCUACAAACAUGUCAUUCAAGUGGCUAAUCUUACAACAGCACAAAUUCAUCUAACCAGAAAGAGAAGAGGAGGCUCCAAAGGCACUUGACUACUGAGCAUCACCCUGGACGUGUACAAGUCUGCGUCCUUAUUGUUUUCUUCAUUGGGCCGAACUUUCUGGUCCUCAUCCAACAGCUCUUCUAUCACGUGUUCGAAAGUGUCAGCCAACGAUGUCAAGCCUCUUGAACCUGCCUUGGGCCCAUUCACGCUCUCCAGAGUCCCAUGGGUCCGCACACCUGGAGAUACUCUAUUAUAGCAAAGAAGAAAGAUAAUUUCAUUGAGCCAUCCUGUUUUACAGGAUUUUCCCUCCUGGUGAGUCAAAAUGAACAAGAAAUACCCCAGGACCUCCCUUCCCUCCUUGGCCAUUAAUGAGAUUAAGGCAAUUAACUCACAUAGUAUAAAUGAAUCAUUUGAGGUGAUGACUGCAUUUUAGGCAAAUGAUGACUUUCUUGGUUCCAUUGGUUUGCAAGUAAAAGUUACACACAUUGAAAAGACACUGAAACAGAUUUCCUAAAUGCUUCAUUUUCUGGAUGCACCAAUGUUGACCUACUAUACCUGUUAAAUGGUUUUAAAAUAUCACCUUAAAAUAAAGGAAACUUCCAGCUACUAACUCAGCUCUGAAUGGGCUAUGAAAGGCUCCAAAGGUAUGUGAAAAAUUACUGUUAUUUUGCUUUAAAAAAUGUGAUGUCUAAGAGUGUCUGCAAUGUUCUAAUGCUUCAAAACAUGUACGUAAGCCUUGUUUAUCUGGAAAUCAUUUCUUUCUGCUUAUAUCAUUUAUAAAUAGAAAAUGUUCUGUAAUAACUUAAAAUAGUUCCACAUACAUAAUGCUUUUCGUGUCAUAAUACUUACUACUGGUCUAUAUUUACCAACAUUUAUCACAUUUUACAAAAUGAAGUAGAAGAAAAAAAAAGACAACGACUUUAUGGCCCUGGAAUUCCAGUAAUGGUGACCAACAUGUUUUAAAUUCCAGUAAAGGUUAUGGUUACAUUUCAACAA